rnacentral:rRNA from 1 species
UGGGGAAUAUUGCACAAUGGGCGCAAGCCUGAUGCAGCCAUGCCGCGUGUAUGAAGAAGGCCUUCGGGUUGUAAAGUACUUUCAGCGAGGAGGAAGGCGGUAAGGUUAAUAACCUUAUCGAUUGACGUUACUCGCAGAAGAAGCACCGGCUAACUCCGUGCCAGCAGCCGCGGUAAUACGGAGGGUGCAAGCGUUAAUCGGAAUUACUGGGCGUAAAGCGCACGCAGGCGGUCUGUCAAGUCGGAUGUGAAAUCCCCGGGCUCAACCUGGGAACUGCAUUCGAAACUGGCAGGCUAGAGUCUUGUAGAGGGGGGUAGAAUUCCAGGUGUAGCGGUGAAAUGCGUAGAGAUCUGGAGGAAUACCGGUGGCGAGGGCGGCCCCCUGGACAAAGACUGACGCUCAGGUGCGAAAGCGUGGGGAGCAAACA